rnacentral:rRNA from 1 species
GACGAACGCUGGCGGCGUGCUUAACACAUGCAAGUCGAACGGAAAGGCCCUGCUUUUGUGGGGUGCUCGAGUGGCGAACGGGUGAGUAACACGUGAGUAACCUGCCCUUGACUUUGGGAUAACUUCAGGAAACUGGGGCUAAUACCGGAUAGGAGCUCCUGCUGCAUGGUGGGGGUUGGAAAGUUUCGGCGGUUGGGGAUGGACUCGCGGCUUAUCAGCUUGUUGGUGGGGUAGUGGCUUACCAAGGCUUUGACGGGUAGCCGGCCUGUGAGGGUGACCGGCCACAUUGGGACUGAGAUACGGCCCAGACUCCUACGGGAGGCAGCAGUGGGGAAUAUUGCACAAUGGGAGGAAGCCUGAUGCAGCAACGCCGCGUGCGGGAUGACGGCCUUCGGGUUGUAAACCGCUUUCGCCUGUGACGAAGCGUGAGUGACGGUAAUGGGUAAAGAAGCACCGGCUAACUACGUG